GUGAAACCGGUGCCAGCGGCCGGGGGAAGUAGGAGGGGUGAAGGGUUAAUCGGGAUUUCCGGGGGUAAAGCGGGCGUGGGGGGGUGUUUGAGUUCGUUGUGGAAGUCCUGGGCUCAACCUUGGAACCGGAGUGGAUAAUGGGCGACUAGGGUGUGGGAAGGGGUAGCGGAAAUCCUGGGGUAGCAGGGGAAUGCGGAAAGUACAGGAGGAACAUCCAUGGCGAAGGCAGCUACCUGGAACAACACUGAAACUGGGGGACGAAAGCGUGGGGGGCAAACAGGAUUAGAUACCCUAGUAAUC
rnacentral:rRNA from 1 species